AACGCGAAGAACCUUACCAAGUCUUGACAUCCCUCUGACCGUUCCUUAACCGGAUCUUUCCUUCGGGACAGAGGAGACAGGUGGUGCAUGGUUGUCGUCAGSUCGUGUCGUGAGAUGUUGGGUUAAGUCCCGCAACGAGCGCAACCCCUGUCCUUAGUAGCCAGCAGUAAGAUGGGCACUCUAGGGAGACAGCCGGGGAUAACCCGGAGGAAGGCGGGGACGACGUCAAAUCAUCAUGCCCCUUAUGAUUUGGGCUACACACGUGCUACAAUGGCGUAAACAAAGGGAAGCGAGCCUGCGAGGGGGAGCGAAUCCCAAAAAUAACGUCCCAGUUCGGACUGCAGUCUGCAACUCGACUGCACGAAGCUGGAAUCGCUAGUAAUCGCGGAUCAGAAUGCCGCGGUGAAUACGUUCCCGGGUCUUGUACACAC
rnacentral:rRNA from 1 species